rnacentral:rRNA from 1 species
CUUGAACUUUAUAAGAGGUCCAGCCUGCCCAGUGACUCUGUUCAACGGCCGCGGUAUCCUAACCGUGCGAAGGUAGCGUAAUCACUUGUUCUCUAAAUGUGGACUAGUAUGAAUGGCACUACGAGGGUUAUACUGUCUCCUUUUUCUAAUCAGUGAAACUAAUUUUCCCGUGAAGAAGCGGGAAUACAACUAUAAGACGAGAAGACCCUAUGGAGCUUUAAACGACCUAGCAAUUACUUCUAAAAUUAUAAAUUUCAGAAUACUCAUUCUUUAAGCAAUAUGUCUGCAAGUUUUUGGUUGGGGUGACCAUGGAGAAUAACACAACCUCCAUAUUGAAUGAAUUUUUAUUCUAAGCUAAGAAUUACUAAUUAAAGCAUCAACACACUGACAUUUAUUGACCCA